rnacentral:rRNA from 1 species
UACGUAGGGGGCAAGCGUUGUCCGGAUUUAUUGGGCGUAAAGAGCGUGUAGGCGGUUUGGUAGGUCCGCUGUGAAAACUCGAGGCUCAACCUCGAGACGCCGAUGGAAACCAUCUAACUAGAGUCCGGAAGAGGAGAGUGGAAUUCCUGGUGUAGCGGUGAAAUGCGCAGAUAUCAGGAAGAACACCCGUGGCUAAGGCGGCUCUCUAGUACGGUACUGACGCUGAGACGCGAAAGCGUGGGGAGCGAACAGG